UAAAAUCAAUAUCGAACGAAACCCUUUCCCCUUUCCAUCUGUUCUCACGGUCCCCUUUUCUUAUUACCCAUCUCCGCCAGAUAUACCCAAAUACCCAAGAAGCUGCUGUUGCUCAUCGCCACUCGAAGCCGUCAAGGCCUCCAACAUCACGCCAUCAACGCUCAACUCUCUGCCAUCGUUAGUGCUCUUACUUACGGAUUUGUGCCUCUUCCACGCAAUUCGCCUUCUACAUGUAGAUAACCUUGUGAGAAAAUUAGGACCUACUCUACCAAAGUUUGGAGAAACUGAAAUUUGCCGCCAUUAGUAGCAGUGUGCCAUAUUCUGCAUCUGUUGGGUGUGAAGGUAAUACCAUGUGGCCUAAGGGUACCAUCUAUCUUUGCUAGUAUAUUCUCUUGGGUUUGUACUAAAAAACUUCUGGUUAGAUCAUAUGUUCGCUAAUUAUUAGCAGUUGAUCCCCUAAUUUUAGUCUCUUACGCAUUAACACGUGUUUGUUGUAGCAUCUCCUCCCUUUAUCCAUUAAUUUGUAAUCUAAUGUGAAUACCUUAACUUGUUUUUACAGUUAUCAGUUAACCACAUUAAUAGUGAAAAAGGUCUUCGCAUGCCAAAAACUUAUGGAGAUAGAUGAAGAGACAAUGACAACAAAGUGCAGGAAUAUGAUUAUGUAGAUAACUUUGCCAUUUACUAACGUUACUAAAAGAAUUCUAUAUUAGCCGAUUAACAAAAGUGAUUUGCAUUGAAGUAUAAUAUUAAUUAUAAAUGAAGGAUUAAAUUAUAUCAAACUAAAGAACAAUGACUAGCGUAGCAUAGAUCCGAGUCUAAAAACCAACAAUAGAGGUAUAUGGUUUAAGCUUAGUUCCUAAUAUUCACACUAUGGAUGAACCAUAUGUAUUUUCUUCUCAAGUGAAACAAGUUUUUUACUAUCACGAUUGAUGGAUGAACC